AAAUUGAAGAGUUUGAUCAUGGCUCAGAUUGAACGCUGGCGGCAGGCCUAACACAUGCAAGUCGAACGGUAACAGGAAGCAGCUUGCUGCUUUGCUGACGAGUGGCGGACGGGUGAGUAAUGUCUGGGAAACUGCCUGAUGGAGGGGGAUAACUACUGGAAACGGUGGCUAAUACCGCAUAACGUCGCAAGACCAAAGAGGGGGACCUUCGGGCCUCUUGCCAUCAGAUGUGCCCAGAUGGGAUUAGCUGGUUGGUGAGGUAACGGCUCACCAAGGCGACGAUCCCUAGCUGGUCUGAGAGGAUGACCAGCCACACUGGAACUGAGACACGGUCCAGACUCCUACGGGAGGCAGCAGUGGGGAAUAUUGCACAAUGGGCGCAAGCCUGAUGCAGCCAUGCCGCGUGUAUGAAGAAGGCCUUCGGGUUGUAAAGUACUUUCAGCGGGGAGGAAGGUGUUGUGGUUAAUAACCGCAGCAAUUGACGUUACCCGCAGAAGAAGCACCGGCUAACUCCGUGCCAGCAGCCGCGGUAAUACGGAGGGUGCAAGCGUUAAUCGGAAUUACUGGGCGUAAAGCGCACGCAGGCGGUCUGUCAAGUCGGAUGUGAAAUCCCCGGGCUCAACCUGGGAACUGCAUUCGAAACUGGCAGGCUUGAGUCUUGUAGAGGGGGGUAGAAUUCCAGGUGUAGCGGUGAAAUGCGUAGAGAUCUGGAGGAAUACCGGUGGCGAAGGCGGCCCCCUGGACAAAGACUGACGCUCAGGUGCGAAAGCGUGGGGAGCAAACAGGAUUAGAUACCCUGGUAGUCCACGCCGUAAACGAUGUCUACUUGGAGGUUGUGCCCUUGAGGCGUGGCUUCCGGAGCUAACGCGUUAAGUAGACCGCCUGGGGAGUACGGCCGCAAGGUUAAAACUCAAAUGAAUUGACGGGGGCCCGCACAAGCGGUGGAGCAUGUGGUUUAAUUCGAUGCAACGCGAAGAACCUUACCUGGUCUUGACAUCCACAGAAGAAUCCAGAGAUGGAUUUGUGCCUUCGGGAACUGUGAGACAGGUGCUGCAUGGCUGUCGUCAGCUCGUGUUGUGAAAUGUUGGGUUAAGUCCCGCAACGAGCGCAACCCUUAUCCUUUGUUGCCAGCGGUUA
rnacentral:rRNA from 1 species